CUUCAUUAAGCAAUGUAAAAACGCUUUCCUUCUCCUCAAAAUGACGAUUUUCAACUCUGGGCAUUUUUCGACGCUUUCGUCUCCAUCCUUUUUUGCCGCUUUUGUCUAUCUAAGUUCGUCUUUGUCUUCUCACUCUCCUAUCCAUGGAUACUAUGUCGGCGUUUCUUGAAUAGCACUUAAUGGGUUGUUUUCUUGGGUGCUUUAGUGGUGCAAAGGAUUCCAAAUGCCGCAAAGAGAGGAUUAAUUGGGGCAGCCCUAGAAACCAAGACCCUUUUCUUAGCUUAACUAGAAUUUAAGUUCCCUUUUCUUGUUCUUUCCCUUCUGUGUAGUUGUCAGAGGAGUUAUGUAAUUCUUGAUUGUUUAUCGAUUUUCUAUUAAAAUCGAACAAGAGAAUUUUAAAUUGUGGAUUAUCGUUUGUUCGAGUAUCUGAUGGUGAAGAUUGAUUCUUCUUACUUGAUGUAGCUUUAAAUUUUGUUUAUUGACCAAAUUUUGAAACCCAUGUUUUAUUUUCCCCACAGUUUGCUUGUUGUACCGAUAAUUUGUGAAAAAGUACAAACCAAUUCUUGAUUUGUUCUCUCUCUCAUAGCUUUAUGCUUUGAGUGUUGGAUAAUUUAGUUCUUUAAAUUACUGGAUCUUUCAUGUUAAAUCAUUAGGAAAUAUAAGAAUUAAAGCGGAAGCAUAACUGAAUCUGACAUGGUUAAUGCAAUAUGAAUUUCGCGGUAUAAUCUUCCAAAUUUACACGCAGUCUCCUUUUUCUCUCUGUGAUGGGAUGCAGUAGAGAAUGAAUAAUUCGUUGCGUGUGAUCUGGGGACCAUAACCUAUUUAUAUGGGGAUGCCCUUUGACCUAAUUCGGCCCAUCAUAGAAUUAAAACUUGGGCCCGAUCUCUACACAUAUGUAAACUCAUACUUUAAUUGGAUACAUUAAAGCCUAAAAUCGAAACCUCAUUAGAUCGCUUUAAUCGGACUCAACCGAAUUCGAUAGCCUAUAAUUUAACACACAGUUAUUCACACAUACAAGCCCAUCUUUAAUUAAAAAUUCAUACAAUCUCCCACAUGGACUAUAUGUGUCACCUUAUAAUUGUGUAUUAAACAUAACCUUAUGAGUACUCAGAAUUUUGCUAUCAUUACCGAAUGUAUCCCCAAACAAUCCCGUCCAUCAAUCAUAUCAACAUAGGAUCAAAGCGGCUUUCGCUACUUUCACGUAGCUAAACCCAUCAAUGGUCACAUAUAUCAAUAUAAUCUAAUGACAUGGAUCAAGCAUGGAUGUGUAGCAUGGAAAUUACAUGUAAUGUGAUCUGUAACAUGCCUAUUUCCAACUGGUCCACCUUAAUACCUUAGUGAGAUCAUUUUAAAUAAGUUCAGAGAUAAUUAACCAAAUAACUUUAUAACUGUAAAUAACUUUAACUUUAAACCGUAUCCAAAAUAACAGUACAUGUGUCCAAUAUGAAAAGCAAAAAUGCAAACUCCCACUAAAACUAGAUAUCCUCAAGAGACAUUACUCCCAUAUGAGCAGUGUGCUCAUGAAAAACCUUGGGUAUCAAUCCCUUAGUAAGCAGAUCCGCAACCAUGGAGUUUGUCCCAAUAUGCUCUAUUGACACCUGUCCACUCUGAACUCUUUCUUUAACAGUAAGGAACUUGAUCUCUAUGUGUUUUCACUUUGUCGAGCUCCUGUUGUUAUUGGAAUACAACACUGCUGAUUUAUUGUCACAAAAUAUCUUAAGUGGUCUUUCUAUAUUGUCUACAAUGCGCAGCCCAGUGACAAAAUUACGCAGCCAUAUUACAUGAUUUGAUGCCUCAUAACAUGCUAUAAACUCCGCUGCCAUAGUGGAAGUAGCUAUGAGUGUAUGCUUAACACUUUUCCAGGAAAUAGCACCUUCAACAAGCAGGUAAAUAUAGCCCGAAGUGGAUCUCCUACUAUCUUGGCAUCCCGCGAAAUCGGAAUCAGAAUAACCGAUGAUUUCCAACUGAUCUGAUCUCCUGUAUGUGAGCAUGUAGUCUUUUGUUCUCUGUAAGUACCGCAUGACCCGUUUGGCUGCUUUCCAAUGAUCCAUUCCCGGGUUACUUAAAUAUCUCCCUAGCAUCCCAACGAUGUACGCUAUAUCCGGACGCGUACAAACCUGAGCAUACAUUAGACUCCCUAUAGCUGAGGAAUAAGGAAUCUUCUGCAUUUUUUUAAUUUCCAAGUCAUUUUUAGGGCACUGACUUAAGCUGAACUUGUCACCUUUAUCCACAGGGGUGUCACAUGAUUUACAAUCUUGCAUGCCAUAUCUUUUAAGUACCUUUUCGAUAUAGCUCUUUUGUGAUAAUUCAAGAAUACCUCGAGAACGAUCUCGGUGUAUCUGAAUUCCUAAUACAAAAGAGGCAUCACCAAGAUCUUUCAUCUAAAAAUUCUUUGCUAGAAAUCUCUUGGUUUCGUGCAAUAAGCCUAUAUCGUUGCUGGCAAGCAAUAUGUCAUUGACAUAUAAAACCAGAAAAAUAUACUUGCUCCCACUGAACUUGUGGUAUAUACAAUCAUCAACCAAAUUCAUCUCAAAACCAAAUGAGAUGAUCACUUGAUGAAACUUGUAAUACCAUUGACGAGACGCUUGUUUGAGUCCAUAGAUGGAUUUCUUUAAUUUACAAACCAUUUGCUUUGCAUUGUUCGAUACAAAGUUUUCUGGUUGUACCAUAUAAAUUAUUUCAUCAAUGUCACCAUUGAGAAACGCUGUCUUAAUAUCCAUCUGAUGUAGCUCAAGAUCGAAAUGCGCUACCAAUGUCAUUAUAGUCCUGAAAGAGUCUUUCGAAGAAAUCAAAGAGAAAGUCUCUUUAUAAUCGAUGUCUUCUUUCUGUGUAAAGCCUUUUGCGACAAGACGAGCCUUACACCUCUCUACAUCACCUUUCGAAUCCCUCUUGGUCCUAAAUAUCCAUUUGCAACCAAUGGGUUCCGCACCUUCAGGCAAUGGAACGAGGUCCCAUACGUCAUUGUCCUUUAUGGACUUUAUCUCUUCAUUCAUAGCAUCGAGCCACUUUUGAGAGUUAGAACUUUCCAUGGCUUGACGGAAGUUGAUCGGAUCAUAUUUCACCAUUCCAAUGUCAACUUCAUGUUCUUGAAGAAAUACGAUGUAAUCAUUCGAAACCGCACUUCUCCUCUCUCUAGUGGAUCUUCUUAAUGGCAUUGGUUCUUGAGGGUGUAGAGUUUGUUCUUUUGGAACAAUUUGUUGAUCUUGAGAGGGAGGUAUGACAUUGUCUUGAUCCAGAGUUGUUUCUUGAACAAUAUCAGGGAUAGAAACCUGAUAAUUGUCAAUGGCAAUUGGAGGAAUUUCAACAUAUUCCUCCUCAAAGACAAAGCCUUUAACCCUUUCUCCCCCCGCAAACUCAACAUCCUCAAAGAACCUAGCAUUUCCUGUCUCGAAAAUUGCCUUAGUUGUGGGAUCAUAAAACUUGUAACCCCUGAACCUUUCAGAAUAUCCAAUGAAAUAGCAACUGAUGGUCCUUGCGUCCAGUUUCUUUUCAUUUGGCUUAUAGGGCCUUGCCUCAGCUGGACACCCCCAAAUAUGUAUAUACUUCAAACUAGGCUUCUUGCCCAUCCAAAGCUCAUAUGGGGUUUUAUCAGGAGUCUUAGUUGGAACUCUGUUGAGUAUAUAAGUUGCAGUCUUUAAUGCUUCACCCCAGAGAGAUUCUGGUAAAGUAGAAUGACUAAUCAUACUCCUCACCAUGUCUUUAAGCGUUCUGUUUCGUCUUUCAGUAACACCAUUCAUAGUGGGCGAACCCAGCAUAGUGUACUGUGGGACGAUACCGCAUUCCUCUAGGAAUUUAGCAAACGAUCCUGGAUGUUAUUCACCUGAAUCGUCAUAUCUGCCAUAGUAUUUACCCUCACAGUCAGAUCUGACGCUUUUAAUCCUUUUGCCGAGUUGGUUCUCAACUUCAGCUUUAUAGUUUUUGAACAUAUCCAGUGACUGUGAUUUUUCAUGAAUGAGAUAUAUGUAGCCAUAUCUUGAAAAGUCGUCUAUGAACGUUAUAAAAUAUUGUUGACCAUUCCAAGAACCCGUAGGGAAUGGUCCACAAAUAUCCAUAUGUAUAAGUUCUAAGACGUCCGAAAUCCUAUUGGCUUGAAAUCUCCUUUUAUUGGUUUGUUUUCCCUUUAUAAAGUUGACACACAAAUCAUAGUCUGUGAAGACAAGAGGGUCGAGAAUUUCGUCAGACACAAGUCUCUCAAUUCUCCUUUUGGAGAUGUGACCUAAUCACUUGUGCCACAACGAGGCAAAAUUCUCGUCGUUUAAUUUUCGUUUUACACCUCGAGUACUUACAUGCAAGGUUUCAUUAUAAGAAGCAAUUGUAUCAAUUGAAUAAAGAUUAUCGUAACCUGAUAAAGAACCGGAACCAACCAAUUUUGAAUCAUGAAACAAACUAAAUUUUCCAUUUCCAAAAGAACAAGUAUAACCAAAUUUGUCCAAAAUAGAAAUAGAAAUCAAAUUUCGUCUAAAAGACGUACAAUAAACGUCUCAACAAGAUCCAAAUAAAAUCCAGCCUUUAACAAUAAUCUAAAUUUUCCUAUUGCCUCUACUUCCAUUCUAUUGCCGUCGCCAGCAUAGAUGUAUCUUUCACCAUCACUUGGUUUUCGGCAACUCAGGCAACCCUGCAUAGACAUACUGAUGUGAGUUGUUGCACCAGAAUCUAUCCACCAUGUAUGUCUAGGUACCGAAGUUAAAUUAACCUCAGAACAAACCAAAUGAAGAAGAGUACCUUUCUUUACACGCCAUGCGUGGUAAUUGGUGCAAUUCUUCUUCUUAUGACCUGCAGCUCCACAGAAGAAACAACNCAGGGAUAGAAACCUGAUCAUUGUCAAUGGCAAUUGGAGGAAUUUCAACAUAUUCCUCCUCAAAGACAAAGCCUGUAACCCUUUCUCCCCCCGCAAACUCAACAUCCUCAAAGAACCUAGCAUUUCCUGUCUCGAAAAUUGCCUUAGUUGUGGGAUCAUAAAACUUGUAACCCCUGGACCUUUCAGAAUAUCCAAUGAAAUAGCAACUGAUGGUCCUUGCGUCCAGUUUCUUUUCAUUUGGCUUAUAGGGCCUUGCCUCAGCUGGACACCCCCAAAUAUGUAUAUACUUCAAACUAGGCUUCUUGCCCAUCCAAAGCUCAUAUGGGGUUUUAUCAGGAGUCUUAGUUGGAACUCUGUUGAGUAUAUAAGUUGCAGUCUUUAAUGCUUCACCCCAGAGAGAUUCUGGUAAAGUAGAAUGACUAAUCAUACUCCUCACCAUGUCUUUAAGCGUUCUGUUUCGUCUUUCAGUAACACCAUUCAUAGUGGGCGAACCCAGCAUAGUGUACUGUGGGACGAUACCGCAUUCCUCUAGGAAUUUAGCAAACGAUCCUGGAUGUUAUUCACCUGAAUCGUCAUAUCUGCCAUAGUAUUUACCCUCACAGUCAGAUCUGACGCUUUUAAUCCUUUUGCCGAGUUGGUUCUCAACUUCAGCUUUAUAGUUUUUGAACAUAUCCAGUGACUGUGAUUUUUCAUGAAUGAGAUAUAUGUAGCCAUAUCUUGAAAAGUCGUCUAUGAACGUUAUAAAAUAUUGUUGACCAUUCCAAGAACCCGUAGGGAAUGGUCCACAAAUAUCCAUAUGUAUAAGUUCUAAGACGUCCGAAAUCCUAUUGGCUUGAAAUCUCCUUUUAUUGGUUUGUUUUCCCUUUAUAAAGUUGACACACAAAUCAUAGUCUGUGAAGACAAGAGGGUCGAGAAUUUCGUCAGACACAAGUCUCUCAAUUCUCCUUUUGGAGAUGUGACCUAAUCACUUGUGCCACAACGAGGCAAAAUUCUCGUCGUUUAAUUUUCGUUUUACACCUCGAGUACUUACAUGCAAGGUUUCAUUAUAAGAAGCAAUUGUAUCAAUUGAAUAAAGAUUAUCGUAACCUGAUAAAGAACCGGAACCAACCAAUUUUGAAUCAUGAAACAAACUAAAUUUUCCAUUUCCAAAAGAACAAGUAUAACCAAAUUUGUCCAAAAUAGAAAUAGAAAUCAAAUUUCGUCUAAAAGACGUACAAUAAACGUCUCAACAAGAUCCAAAUAAAAUCCAGCCUUUAACAAUAAUCUAAAUUUUCCUAUUGCCUCUACUUCCAUUCUAUUGCCGUCGCCAGCAUAGAUGUAUCUUUCACCAUCACUUGGUUUUCGGCAACUCAGGCAACCCUGCAUAGACAUACUGAUGUGAGUUGUUGCACCAGAAUCUAUCCACCAUGUAUGUCUAGGUACCGAAGUUAAAUUAAACUCAGAACAAACCAAAUGAAGAAGAGUACCUUUCUUUACACGCCAUGCGUGGUAAUUAGUGCAAUUCUUCUUCUUAUGACCUGCAGCUCCACAGAAGAAACAACCGCCUUCAGCUGGUUCCUUAUGCUGUUUCUUUUGCGGUGCCGUACCUGCAGCUUCCUUAUUAAUCUUCAUUUUCUUGUUACUUUUGUCCUUAGAGGUGGUGGCUAAAUGACAUUUUCUGUUUUUUCAUGCUUCAGUCUUUUCUCUUCCCGGACACAAUGUGAGAUGAGCUCAUUAAGGGACCAUGAGUCCUUUUAACAGUUAUAGCUCACCUUGAAUUGACUGAAAUGUGCCAGAAGGGAUAUCAGAACCAAGUGCACUAACAAGUCUUCAGAUAAAUUCAACUUGAGUGCCUUUAGUUUUGAAGCAAUGUGAGACAUUUUCAUAAUGUACUCCCGAAUGUUUUUUUUCCCUUUAUACCUCAUUGAGACAAGAUUUGCCAAAAGUGUACUUGUUUCAGCCUUUUCAUUCUUAGCAAACCUCUUCUCAAGGUCCUCAAGGAAACCCUUAGCCGUAGUCAUCUUAUCGGACAUAGUACCCCGGAAUGCUUCGAAAUAGCACGCUUCAUGACCAUUAAGCUUAUGCGGUUCGAUCGUUCCCACUUUUCCAUCUCCCUCUUGUCAUCAGAGGUACUCUUAUCAGUAAGUGCAGCAGGUUGAUCGACCCGUAAAGCAAGGUCUAGGUCCAUGACUCCGAGAACAAUCAUAACGUUCUCUUGCCAUGCCCUGAAGUUUGUGCCAUUUAACAUUGGAAUUGAAUUGAUGCUAGCAGAGAUAUUAGCAGCAGAACCUGAAACUAAAUUAGAGAACAUUUAUUAUGAAUAGCUCACAUGAAUAUAUUUAAUAUGCAAAUAAUAAUAAUAAUAAUCUCAAAUAGUGGUAGGGCCCAUCACAAGAUACCAAGCACAACAUCAAUAUCCAGUUUUUGGACAGAGAUAUUGACUUGUAAGCGGUACUCUUGGCGUAGUGAUCAAACAUUGACGAUAAAACAACGUGUCAAUCAAUAAAUCUUUCUUUGGACCGAUUUAUUGAUCACACAUUAAACCAAAUAAUCGUCACACGUUUAUCACCACAGGUGCACGUGUAUUCGACUAAAUAUUGACCUUCCUUUGGGCUGACCAAUAUUCCCAUGAAUAACACGUGCACAAACACUUUUUAACAUUCUAAGUUAAUCAAUUUUCACAAGAGAGGUUGCUUUGGCAAAAGAGUCUUUAAUACCAAAAAUUUGAGAAAGAGAAUCACCAAUUUUGCAUAUUUUGAUUAGUUUUAAACUUUAGGGGCCUUAGGAUUAAUAAUUCAAAACUUUAAGGGGGCAAAAUUAAUUAAUUUCAAACUUUAGGGGUCGAAAUUAAUAAACUUGAAACUUUAUGGACCAUAAUUAAUUAAUUCAAUACUUUAAAGGAUCAAUUAAAACAAAUUUUAAAACUUUAGGGGCCAAAAUUGACCAAUUCAAAACUUUAGGGAUCAAAUUUUAAAAAUUUGAAACUUAAGGGGUCAUAUUGAAUUAAUUAUGAACUUAGGGGGCCAAUUUGAAUUAAUAAUUAAAUUUUGAGGGCUUUAAUUAUAAAUUCAGAACUUUAAUGGCCCGAAUUAAUUAAUUUUAAAACCUUAGGGACAGAAUUAUUAAAUUCGAAACUUAAAGGCCCAAAUCUCAAUAUAACUUAAAGGUUAGGGAUUGAAACCUUAAUUUUAUAACCCCUAACCCUAAUUGCAAUCAGGGGUCUCAACUUAUCUAAUUUACAGAGGAGGCCCCCGCCCCCAAAAAUUUUUUUUUUUUAAUGAGCAGCGGCGCUCGCCGUUGGCAGCAGCGCCUGUUGCGGGCUGCUGCCUGCGUAGCAUAACUGAAUCUGAUACCACUGAAGAGGCUCUGAUACCACUUGUUGGAUAAUUUAGUUCUUUAAAUUACCGGAUCUUUCAUGUUAAAUCAUUAAGAAAUAUAAGAAUUAAAGCGGAAGCAUAACUGAAUCUGACGUAGUUAAUGCAAUAUGAAUUUCGCGGUAUGAUCUUCCAAAUCUACACGCAGUCUCCUUUUCUUCUCUGUGAUGGGAUGCAGUAGAGAAUGAAUAAUUCGUUACGUGUGAUCUGGGACCAUAACCUAUUUAUAUGGGGAUGCCCUUUGACCUAAUUCGGCCUAUCAUAGAAUUAGGAUUUGGACCCGGUCUCUACACAUAUGUAAACACAUACUUUAAUUGGAUACAUUAAAACCCAAAAUCGAAACCUCAUUAGAUCACUUUAAUCGGGCUCAACCGAAUUCGAUAGCUUAUAAUUUAACACACAAUUAUUCACACAUACAAGCCCAUCUUUAAUUAAAAAUUCUUACAUUGAGAACAUGUUAUUAGUAUAUCUGUAUUUUGAUUUUUUGUUUGGAUUUUGGGUUUUCUAAACUUAAUCAAAUUACUAAGUCUCUUUUCUAAAAAUAUCUUAAUGUGAUGUAGUUUCAAUUUACAUCCUGUUGGAACUUGAGUAGGGAAAAUUGUUCGACAUGAUGCAGCAAAAAUUUGCAGGGAUAGUGGAAGAGGUGGGAAUGCAAAUGAGACUAGAAGAAGCAAGCCUUCGUCAUCGUACUUUCUCAAUUCAAAGUUGUCUUGAACUUUAGUUGCUCGAUGCACUAUAUCAUAUUGAAUACAUGAAUGCUAUUGAUGUGUUGAAUUUGAAUAAUUUAUAUCGCCAUCUCAUCUUAGAUUAUACAAAUAGACUGAAAAUUGUUGUUAUUUCUAAA
rnacentral:lncRNA from 1 species